GCGGCGGACGGGUGAGUAAUGCUUAGGAAUCUGCCUAUUAGUGGGGGACAACAUUCCGAAAGGAAUGCUAAUACCGCAUACGCCCUACGGGGGAAAGCAGGGGAUCUUCGGACCUUGCGCUAAUAGAUGAGCCUAAGUCGGAUUAGCUAGUUGGUGGGGUAAAGGCCUACCAAGGCGACGAUCUGUAGCGGGUCUGAGAGGAUGAUCCGCCACACUGGGACUGAGACACGGCCCAGACUCCUACGGGAGGCAGCAGUGGGGAAUAUUGGACAAUGGGCGGAAGCCUGAUCCAGCCAUGCCGCGUGUGUGAAGAAGGCCUUUUGGUUGUAAAGCACUUUAAGCGAGGAGGAGGCUCUUAAGGUUAAUACCCUUGAUGAGUGGACGUUACUCGCAGAAUAAGCACCGGCUAACUCUGUGCCAGCAGCCGCGGUAAUACAGAGGGUGCGAGCGUUAAUCGGAUUUACUGGGCGUAAAGCGUGCGUAGGCGGCUGAUUAAGUCGGAUGUGAAAUCCCUGAGCUUAACUUAGGAAUUGCAUUCGAUACUGGUCAGCUAGAGUAUGGGAGAGGAUGGUAGAAUUCCAGGUGUAGCGGUGAAAUGCGUAGAGAUCUGGAGGAAUACCGAUGGCGAAGGCAGCCAUCUGGCCUAAUACUGACGCUGAGGUACGAAAGCAUGGGGAGCAAACAGGAUUAGAUACCCUGGUAGUCCAUGCCGUAAACGAUGUCUACUAGCCGUUGGGGCCUUUGAGGCUUUAGUGGCGCAGCUAACGCGAUAAGUAGACCGCCUGGGGAGUACGGUCGCAAGACUAAAACUCAAAUGAAUUGACGGGGGCCCGCACAAGCGGUGGAGCAUGUGGUUUAAUUCGAUGCAACGCGAAGAACCUUACCUGGUCUUGACAUAGUAAGAACUUUCCAGAGAUGGAUUGGUGCCUUCGGGAACUUACAUACAGGUGCUGCAUGGCUGUCGUCAGCUCGUGUCGUGAGAUGUUGGGUUAAGUCCCGCAACGAGCGCAACCCUUUUCCUUAUUUGCCAGCACUUCGGGUGGGAACUUUAAA
rnacentral:rRNA from 1 species